rnacentral:rRNA from 1 species
UACGAAGGGGGCUAGCGUUGUUCGGAAUUACUGGGCGUAAAGCGCGCGCAGGCGGUCUUCCAAGUCAGUGGUGAAAGCCCGGAGCUCAACUCCGGAACUGCCAUGAAACUGUAAGACUUGAGGAUGAGAGAGGUGAGUGGAAUUCCCAGUGUAGAGGUGAAAUUCGUAGAUAGUUGGGAAGAACACCGGUGGCGAAGGCGGUCUCACUGGCUCAUAUCUGACGCUCAGGCGCGACGAGCGUGGGGAUCAAACAGG